rnacentral:rRNA from 1 species
CGCCAGACUCCUACGGGAGGCAGCAGUGGGGAAUAUUGCACAAUGGGGGAACCCUGAUGCAGCGACGCCGCGUGGGUGAAGGAGCACCUCGGUGCGUAAAGCCCUAUCGGCAGGGAAGAAAAGUGAACAGGUUCGCCUGGACGGUACCUGACUAAGAAGCCCCGGCUAACUACGUGCCAGCAGCCGCGGCAAUACGUAGGGGGCAAGCGUUAUCCGGAUUCACUGGGUGUAAAGGGAGCGUAGGCGGCGACGCAAGUCUGGAGUGAAAGCCCGGGGCCCAACCCCGGGACUGCCCUGGAAACUGUGCUGCUGGAGUGCAGGAGAGGCAAGUGGAAUUCCUAGUGUAGCGGUGAAAUGCGUAGAUAUUAGGAGGAACACCAGUGGCGAAGGCGGCUUGCUGGACUGUAACUGACGUUGAGGCUCGAAAGCGUGGGGAGCAAACAGGAUUAGAUAC